rnacentral:rRNA from 1 species
AGCGAGCGCUGGCGGCAGGCCUAACACAUGCAAGUCGAACGAACCCUUCGGGGUUAGUGGCGGACGGGUGAGUAACACGUGGGAACGUGCCUUUAGGUUCGGAAUAACUCAGGGAAACUUGUGCUAAUACCGAAUGUGCCCUUCGGGGGAAAGAUUUAUCGCCUUUAGAGCGGCCCGCGUCUGAUUAGCUAGUUGGUGAGGUAAUGGCUCACCAAGGCUACGACCAGUAGCUGGUCUGAGAGGAUGACCAGCCACAUUGGGACUGAGACACGGCCCAACUCCUACGGGAGGCAGCAGUGGGGAAUCUUGCGCAAUGGGCGAAAGCCUGACGCAGCCAUGCCGCGUGGAUGAUGAAGGUCUUAGGAUUGUAAAAUCCUUUCACCGGUGAAGAUAAUGACUGUAGCCGGAGAAGAAGCCCCGGCUAACUUCGUGCCAGCCGCCGCCGUAACAC